UUUAAAAUUUAUUCCCCCUAAAUUUGUACAUACAGUAUUUAUUAUAUAGUAUUGCUAAAAUAACACAGUAUUUUGAAAUACAAGGAUAAUAUUCUAGACAAAACUGUCCUCACUCAAGUGUUGUAUAUGUUUUUUUUUUUCAACAGCUACAUAAUUUGAAAUGUAAAAAUACAAGAUGAAAGCCAGAAGGAAAAAUAAAAAUACUGAGAGAGAGAGAGAGAGAGAGAGAGAGAGAGAGAGAGAGAGAGAGAGAGAGAGAGAGAGAGAGAGAGAGAGAGAGAGAGAGAGAGAGAGAGAGAGAGAGAGAGAGAGAGAGAGAGAGAGAGAGAGAGAGAGAGAGAGAGAGAGAGAGAGAAAAUUGAGAUUUGUAAGUUCUUUGUAACUGAUGAGACAAUGUAUUUAAAAACUCAUGAUGAUGGAAAUACUGAAAC